CUAACCCAGAUGACAGCCAUCUUCGUAUUUGCUGCUAUGAGAACCUCAGUUCCUACUGUUUAAUACGGAAAUGUCUGACGAUGGCUGCUUCUGGGUUGUUGCGUUGUGUAGUCCGGUUGCAACGGAAUAUGAUGCUGCUGCUGCUGAUGAUGAUAAUUUAUUGGGUGAUAUAAAUACAAUGAAGAGGAACACAGAAGUUUUACUAGAAGGUAGUAGAAAGGUUGGCCUAGAAAUAAAUUAAGAAAACAUGUUAGUACCUCUUCAGCUGACAGGCAGGCAAAAUGAUAUUAGGGUAGCUAAUAAAUCCUUUGAAAGUGUGACAAAAGUCAAGUAUUUGGGAACAAUAACAAAUAAAAAUUAUAUUCUUGAGAAAAUUGGGAGGAUACUUAAUUCUGGAAUUGCUUGCUACUUUUCAUUUCAAAAUAUUUUGCCUUCCCAUCUGAUUUCUAAUAACCUAAAGAUUAGAAUAUAGAAAAUAAUUUUGUAUGUGUGUGAAACAUGGUCUCUUAUUCUUAGGGAGGAACACGUUUUGUAGGUGUUGAGGAGGAUAUUUGAGCCCAGGAGAAAAGAGGUUUGGUAUGGAGAAAACUAAAUAAUGAUGAGCUUAAAAAUUGGUAUUUGCCCCUGAAUAUUGUCAGGGUGAAUAAGUCGAGAAGAAUGAGAUGGGCAGGACAUGUGGCAUGAGGUGUGCACCGGGUAAUAGUUGCGAAGUCUGAAGGGAAGAGACUGCUGGAGAGAACUAGACGCAGGUGGGAGGAUAACAGUUCUGGAUAUUCGCAUUAUUUUCGCUGACCAUAGGCUAUCCAGUAGAAUGUCAUCAAGGCCACCGACGCCGAAAUCAUAUUCGUACAAUAUUUUGUAUCACAUGCAGAUGGCAGUGAGAUCUGUGCUUCCAAACGAAAGAAAAAAAUAUCGUGCAGCCAUUCUGCGACGGCCAUUUUGUGAGUAAGUUAUUGUAGUGUAAGAAACAGUUUUAAAAGAUUUUAACGAAGUUAUUAAAAAAGUUUUAUGGCUGCACUGAAGAAACUGCUGUUCCCGGUGAUGAAGAUCCUUCAUGAUGGCAGCCAUAGUGGGCAGCUUGCCUGGAAUCCAGCCUCUGUACAGUGACCACAUGGAUUUCUUGUGUGGACACUCAGUUUGGGAAGAAACUCCAUUCCAAGAGGUGAAUGAUGUUGAGUGGGAGCUGAGCGAGAAUCAUCCUGGAAAUCUUGUCCUGCCAUUGUGAAGAAACUUAACAUCUGGUUGAGGGAGCAUCUCCCAGGAUCCCUUCGUCUAUAUGGAAGGGUCAUUCAGCAAAAACAGCGUUAGUUAUGAAGAUGUGUAAGAUCCAGCGCCGAGU